rnacentral:rRNA from 1 species
AACACUGAGGCACGAUGACGCGGCACUACGGUGCGGAAGUUGCUGAUGCCCCGCUUCCAGGAAAAGCCCCUAAGCUUCAGAUUGGUGUUCAUCGUACCCCAAACCGACACAGGUGGUCAGGUAGAGAAUACUCAGGCGCUUGAGAGAACUCGGGUGAAGGAACUAGGCAAAAUGGUGCCGUAACUUCGGGAGAAGGCACGCUGGCGUUAGGUGAACUCCCUUGCGGAGGGAGCCGAGGCCAGUCGCAGAUACCAGCUGGCUGCAACUGUUUAAUAAAAACACAGCACUGUGCAAACACGAAAGUGGACGUAUACGGUGUGACGCCUGCCCGGUGCUGGAAGGUUAAUUGAUGGGGUUAUCGCUUCGGCGAGAAGCUCUUGAUCGAAGCCCCAGUAAACGGCGGCCGUAACUAUAACGGUCCUAAGGUAGCGAAAUUCCUUGUCGGGUAAGUUCCGACCUGCACGAAUGGCGUAAUGAUGGCCAGGCUGUCUCCACCCGAGACUCAGUGAAAUUGAACUCGCUGUGAAGAUGCAGUGUACCCGCGGCAAGACGGAAAGACCCCGUGAACCUUUACUAUAGCUUGACACUGAACAUGGAGCCUUGAUGUGUAGGAUAGGUGGGAGGCUGUGAAGUGUGGACGCCAGUCUGCACGGAGCCAUCCUUGAAAUACCACCCUUGAAUGUUUGAUGUUCUAACGCGGACCCGUUAUCCGGGUUGCGGACAGUGUCUGGUGGGUAGUUUGACUGGGGCGGUCUCCUCCCAAAGCGUAACGGAGGAGCACGAAGGUUGGCUAAUCCUGGUCGGACAUCAGGAGGUUAGUGCAAUGGCAUAAGCCAGCUUGACUGCGAGAGUGACGGCUCGAGCAGGUGCGAAAGCAGGUCAUAGUGAUCCGGUGGUUCUGAAUGGAAGGGCCAUCGCUCAACGGAUAAAAGGUACUCCGGGGAUAACAGGCUGAUACCGCCCAAGAGUUCAUAUCGACGGCGGUGUUUGGCACCUCGAUGUCGGCUCAUCACAUCCUGGGGCUGAAGUAGGUCCCAAGGGUAUGGCUGUUCGCCAUUUAAAGUGGUACGCGAGCUGGGUUUAGAACGUCGUGAGACAGUUCGGUCCCUAUCUGCCGUGGGCGUUGGAAGAUUGCAAGGGGCUGCUCCUAGUACGAGAGGACCGGAGUGGACGCACCACUGGUGUUCGGGUUGUCAUGCCAAUGGCACUGCCCGGUAGCUAAGUGCGGAAGAGAUAACCGCUGAAAGCAUCUAAGCGGGAAACUUGCCUUAAGAUGAGUCUUCCCUUACUCCUUUGAGGGGACUGAAGGACCGUCCGAGACGAGGACGUAGAUAGGCCGGGUGUGUAAGCGUUGCGAGACGUUGAGCUAACCGGUACUAAUGAGCCGUGCGGCUUAACCUG